rnacentral:rRNA from 1 species
AACAAACGCUGGCGGCGUGCCUAAUACAUGCAAGUCGAACGAAGAAAGUACUUCGGUACAAGUAAGAGUGGCGCACGGGUGAGUAACACGUGGACAACCUGCCCUAUAGUGGGGAACAACCUACCGAAAGGUAGGCUAAUACCGCAUAAGACCACAGUAGCUGCGGCUACAGGGGUUAAAGAUUUAUCGCUAUUGGAUGGGUCCGCGCAUGAUUAGAUUGUUGGUGAGGUAACGGCUCACCAAAUCGACGAUCAUUAGCUGGUUUGAGAGGAUGAUCAGCCACACUGGAACUGAGACACGGUCCAGACUCCUACGGGAGGCAGCAGUAGGGAAUAUUGCGCAAUGGGGGAAACCCUGACGCAGCAACGCCGCGUGUGUGAUGAAGGCUUUAGGGUCGUAAAGCACUGUCGUAAAGGAAUAAUUUUGAAGGUACUUUACAAGAAAGGACCGGCUAACUUCG